UACGAAGGGGGCUAGCGUUGUUCGGAAUUACUGGGCGUAAAGCGCACGUAGGCGGAUAUUUAAGUCAGGGGUGAAAUCCCAGAGCUCAACUCUGGAACUGCCUUUGAUACUGGGUAUCUCGAGUAUGGAAGAGGUGAGUGGAAUUCCGAGUGUAGAGGUGAAAUUCGUAGAUAUUCGGAGGAACACCAGUGGCGAAGGCGGCUCACUGGCCCGAUACUGACGCUGAGGCACGAAAGCGUGGGGAGCAAACAGG
rnacentral:rRNA from 1 species